CCCGGUGCCCAUACCGGAGGGGAAACACCCGAUCCCAUUCCGAACUCGGAAGUUAAGCCCUCCAGGGCCGAUGGUACUGCUCCCGCAAGGGAGUGGGAGAGUAGGACGGUGCCGGGC
rnacentral:rRNA from 1 species